AACCAAUAUGACUAUUUGGUUACAUUUGGCUUUUGUUGCUUAGUUUAUUCUUACAUAGAUGGGCAGCUGGAUGUUAGGGAAAAACAGGGACAGGAAAGAGACUCCAUCCAGUGGCUCUCUGAAGAUUCACCCUUGUUAUCAGUCACUUGGGAUUCUGUUAUCAGAAUUUGGGAUUGCUUGUUAUCACAGCAUUACCUAGUCUACCCUGACUAAUACAAGGGCACUUUGAGAAUCUGAUGGAAGCUCAGGCCACAAGAAAACUGCACAUUCAUGCAAAAUUCAGAACCUUUCAAUUUUAAUGUCUUGAGAUUUCGUUGUGUUUCUAAGAUCCUUGAUGUCCCACAGCCUCCUCUUCUCAGCCUUGGAAUCUGAGGCACCUGGGUUGUAAGUGAUGCUAUGUCAGUGUUCACAAAGGCUCACAAGUCUGCGAAGUGGCCAAGAUGAGCUGACCCUGUCACCAUGGAGCAAGGCCUAUGUGUGCAAAUGAGUCAUGAGCUGAGAGGAAAGAGCUUGAGCCUGAGCUUUUUUUUUUCUUUUCUUUUCUUUUCUUUUUAUGAUGAUUGCUUGAGCCUGAGCUUGUUUGCCAGAUGCUUUCACUAGCCCAAGCUUGUUUUGUGGAUGCUUUCUGCUGCCAGCUACUUUGUAGUCCCUCCUGUGUGACAGCAUCUUGCCAUCAACGGGCUGCAGAAGAAGGGGUGCUUGUUGCUAUUGUGAGCAAACACUGCAUAAACAAUCAGCUCACAUGUGUGUCCCAGAGCGUAUGACCAAUGACCUGGAGAACUCUCAGGCUGUGGGGUGGAGAGAAGGCCAUUCUGAGGUCAACUGAAACCUCACUUGAGGGGCAGUUCCGUAGAUGGGAAUGAGGAGAGAGUCAUGGCCACAGCCACCUGGCCAAGGAGAGAGGCCAUAACUGCCAGACAGAACCAAGGAUGGAGGGACUUCAGCAGCACGAACAAUCCACACUCAGCAUGGGUCACUCUCUGGGACACACAUUUCCCUCUGGCUGAAAGGCUGAGCUGCUCCAGGGCCAACUGUGAGGUCAGACAGCUGCCCAGGGAUGUCUCCAGCCACUCAAGGGAAGAAGAGACCACUCACCUGUAAUUUCAACAGCAACAAAAGACCUGAGGUUCCACCAUCAGAACUUCACGCCCUAAGGAAGAUGCAGCAUUUCCUGUAAAAUGCAAGUGCUCCCAGGCAGAGGUAGCUCCCGAAGCCAUGAUCAGUUAUGUAUACCUUAGUGGCAGCUGAUUAACAGACUCUUCCCCAGAGCCAGCUGACAGGAAGCACAUCGGGGUAAAAGGGAAGAUGAAAACUUGGGUGCCUGGAGGAAGGGAACAAAUGCGAGCAGGAGCAUGGUAAUAACAUAGAGCCAGAAUUGAUUUCGUGGCUUUCUUUCUCCUCUUCUGGGAUUUUGUGCCCUAUUGCCACAGAAACCCUGGGCCCCUUCCCCAGCUGUCAUGAAGGUGCCUGAGUGAUGGUCAGAGAGAUGACCGGAGGGGCCCACCCGGCCACCGCAGCAGCAGCAGCCAAGGCGGGACUAAGCCUCCACACCCCACAUCUCAGUCGUGGCCAGCCCGGGAUGCCUGCCUCUCCUGCCCUGUGGUGUUGCUGUCCUCAUAUGACCCUUCAGUCCCCCGACAUCUGGACAGGCUUUAGGGACCUGCUUGAGCAGAACAUGGUAGAAGUGAUGGACUGGGGCUUCUGAGGCUAAGCCAUAAGAAGCCUUGAGAAUUUCACCUGGCCCUCACUGUCUCUGGGAGCCCUGAGCCAUGAUAGAAGAAGUCCUUCCUAUAUUGAAUGUCCUUGAGACCUCCAGUACUGGAAAGGGCAUUUGUAGAUGCUCAGACCAACAGUCCAAACUGAGCCCAGUCUGCCAACUUGCCCUGCCAAGGUGUCAGAUGCAUAUGUGAAUGAGACCAUCCUAGACCUGCUGAUAGCCCAUCACCCGGCUGACUGCUACUGAGUAACCUCUGCCAACUUCACGCCGAACACAGAACUGCUGAUUUGAACUCUGCCUGAAUUUCUUGGCCCACAGAACAAUGAGAUAUAAUUAAAAGGCAAUGGUUCAAGCCA
rnacentral:lncRNA from 1 species